rnacentral:rRNA from 1 species
CCUACGGGGGGCAGCAGUCGAGAAUCAUUCACAAUGGGGGAAACCCUGACGCAGCAACGCCGCGUGAGUGAAGACGUAUCUCGGUAUGUAAAGCUCUAUCAGCGGGGAAGAAGGAAGACGGUACCCGACUAAGAAGCCCCGGCUAACUACGUGCCAGCAGCCGCGGUAAUACGUAGGGGGCAAGCGUUAUCCGGAUUUACUGGGUGUAAAGGGAGCGUAGACGGCGUCGCAAGUCUGAAGUGAAAGCCCGUGGCUCAACCGCGGAACCGCUUUGGAAACUGCGUGGCUGGAGUGCUGGAGAGGUAAGCGGAAUUCCUGGUGUAGCGGUGAAAUGCGUAGAUAUCAGGAGGAACACCGGUGGCGAAGGCGGCUUACUGGACAGUGACUGACGUUGAGGCUCGAAAGCGUGGGGAGCGAACAGGAUUAGAUACCCGAGUAGUC